rnacentral:rRNA from 1 species
UACAGAGGUCCCAAGCGUUAGGCGGAAUCACUGGGCUUAAAGCGUGUGUAGGACGGAUGCCUAAGUACCUUGUGAAAUCCCACGGCUCACCCGUGGAACUGCUGGGUAUACUGGCGAUCUUGGGCCAACUAGGGGCAACUGGAACAAGCGGUGGAGCGGUGAAAUGCGUAGAUAUCGCUUGGAACGCCCAAAGGUGAAAACAGGUGCUGGGGUUGUGCCGACGCUGAGACACGAAAGCCAGGGGAGCAAACGGG